rnacentral:lncRNA from 1 species
AUAAAUCUAACCACACCGUUAACCAUAUCCCUAAACUUAAAUUAAAAAAAAAGAACAUUUUUGUUUUCAUGAAUUAUUACAAUAUAGAAAUGGGUAUUUUUGUGGCUGUGGUAGAUACCUUUGAAAAUAACGUGCGGGACUUCUUGGACGCAGUAUCCAGUUCUCCAUAGUGGCUUCACAGCGAGGCAGUCCCCAAACCCACAAUCACUUCUUUCUGUUACUCCAACAAAAUCUCCUGCACUCUGACCUGUGAGAGCGACACCACUGAUGCUGAACCAGUCACCUACAGCUGGAAAGUGGGGGAGGGGGCGUGAGAGGUCGUAGGAAAAUGGCUGAUUGUCUCUAAGAGCGACAAGGGCCAAUCAACCAACAGUUACAAGUUCAUCUGCAAGAUGAAGAACUCUACUGGAGAAGAGGAAGUCAGUGAUCCAGUUGGAGAGGUGUUUGGUUCAGGUGAGUGGACACUCAUAAGUGUGCUACAGUCUUAUGUUUUGGUAUGUUAGUAACACUGCUAGUGUUGUAGGACAUUUUUAAUGCUGUGUUGAAUUCAUGAUACAUUUCUUUCAACAUAUCAAUACAGAAUGCGUUUUCAUUUCAGAGCCUUCUGAAGUCGGUGAUAGUGGGAUUGUUGUUGGUGUUGUCGUUAUCAUUGUAGCGCUUGUUGCCAUUGUCAUAACAAGAUAUCCCCAAGACAGCUGGAUUGACCUUUUGAGCAAGGCUUUUUGUGGAUUGUGUGCAGCUGAAGUCAGCAGAUCCAACAGUCCUAAAGAUGAGUCAAAGCCUGAUGAAGCCAACCUGAUGAUGGAGUAG